rnacentral:rRNA from 1 species
UACGUAGGGUGCGAGCGUUAAUCGGAAUUACUGGGCGUAAAGCGUGCGCAGGCGGUUGUGCAAGACAGAUGUGAAAUCCCCGGGCUCAACCUGGGAACUGCAUUUGUGACUGCACGGCUGGAGUGCGGCAGAGGGGGAUGGAAUUCCGCGUGUAGCAGUGAAAUGCGUAGAUAUGCGGAGGAACACCGAUGGCGAAGGCAAUCCCCUGGGCCUGCAC